rnacentral:rRNA from 1 species
AGUUGGGGGCAUGCUUACCAUGCAGUCGAACGGCAGCACGGGUGCUUGCACCUGGUGGCGAGUGGCGAACGGGUGAGUAAUACAUCGGAACAUGUCCUGUAGUGGGGGAUAGCCCGGCGAAAGCCGGAUUAAUACCGCAUACGAUCUCUGGAUGAAAGCGGGGGACCUUCGGGCCUCGCGCUAUAGGGUUGGCCGAUGGCUGAUUAGCUAGUUGGUGGGGUAAAGGCCUACCAAGGCGACGAUCAGUAGCUGGUCUGAGAGGACGACCAGCCACACUGGGACUGAGACACGGCCCAGACUCCUACGGGAGGCAGCAGUGGGGAAUUUUGGACAAUGGGCGAAAGCCUGAUCCAGCAAUGCCGCGUGUGUGAAGAAGGCCUUCGGGUUGUAAAGCACUUUUGUCCGGAAAGAAAUCCUUGGCCCUAAUACGGUCGGGGGAUGACGGUACCGGAAGAAUAAGCACCGGCUAACUACGUGCCAGCAGCGG